UGAAAGCCCUAGAAACACUGGAUCUGCUGGGAACAACAUGCACUUCCUUUCUGCAGUCCCAGGAAUGACCUUAAACAAAGACAUUGUUUGCUGUGGGCCGUGCUCUGUCAUCCCUGCUAGCCAUGAUUAUCAAACGGCUUAGCAAAUGGCUCGAUGAGAACAGGACUGCUUGUGGGAUAGGAAACCUCAGCUUGCGCAGGAGCUCAGGGACUGGUCCCCAGACUCCUACUUUUGUGAGUGCUGCUCAGAGGAGGCUAAACACUGCUCAACAAGGCUGAAAUGAACAGGGCAAUUGAUUGAUGGCUUUGAUUGAAACCAGAACACAUAAUGAACAUCAGUGCUGAGGCCUCAACAAGUCCUGCAAACAUGGGAGAGAACAGUGUCAGAACUACUGAGCACCUGGAGACCUCCUGGCAUCCUCUGUCCUGCCUCUGGAACCCUUUCCUUAGCCAUCAGCCGCCUCUCUCAGGAUGAGGAUGGUGUAUGAGCUGGACCCCUGCUCUGACCCAGUACAGCUAUCCGUCAGCCAUUUUGCAUCGUUAUGUAUUUGAGAGGGAAAGAAAGCAGCCAAACGGAUUCAAAACAAGUGCUGAUGAAUGUGAAUCUACCCUAUGGUCUCCCACUAACUUGCCCUGUAAUCUUAUAGAAAAUGAACCAAAGACCCCACUUAGAGGCAAAGUGUGAAGGAGAUUGACAAAAAUGAGACCUGGCUGUCUGGCCCAGAGCAGCGGCAUAUUCCGAUGUGACCUGGUGCGGGCGGGCGAAUGCCCAGUGGCAGCUCCUGUGUGACUGAGGCCGAGCAUUGCCUUUCUUCUGCCAGGACAUAAGGAGCCCA